rnacentral:tRNA from 2 species
GGCGGCAUGGCCAAGUGGUAAGGCAGGAGCCUGCAAAGCUCUUAUUCCCCAGUUCGAAUCUGGGUGCCGCCU